UUGCAGCUUUGUGCCUUUAGACUCUUGGUU
rnacentral:piRNA from 1 species